rnacentral:rRNA from 1 species
UACGUAGGGUGCGAGCGUUGUCCGGAAUUAUUGGGCGUAAAGAGCUCGUAGGCGGUGUGUCACGUCGGCCGUGAAAACCUGCAGCUUAACUGUGGGCGUGCGGUCGAUACGGGCAUCACUGGAGUUCGGCAGGGGAGACUGGAAUUCCUGGUGUAGCGGUGAAAUGCGCAGAUAUCAGGAGGAACACCGGUGGCGAAGGCGGUGGUCUGGGCCGGCACUGACGCUGAGGAGCGAAAGCGUGGGGAGCAAACAGG